rnacentral:tRNA from 1 species
GGUUAUGACUCAGUGGUAAACCACUUGCCUAGCAUGCAUGAGGCUCUAGGUUCAAUCCCUGGCACCA